rnacentral:rRNA from 1 species
UACGUAGGGCGCAAGCGUUAUCCGGAAUUACUGGGCGUAAAGGGCGCGUAGGCGGCCGCUUGCGUCGGAUGUGAAAGCCCGGGGCUCAACCCCGGAACGGCAUCCGAUACGGGGCGGCUCGAGACCGGGAGAGGAGGGUGGAAUACCCAGUGUAGAGGUGAAAUUCGUAGAUAUUGGGUGGAACACCGGUGGCGAAAGCGGCUCUCUGGCCCGGUUCUGACGCUGAGGCGCGAAAGCGUGGGGAGCAAACAGG